ensembl:lncRNA
AUGAGAGAAUUUGGCUCUAUCAGAAUGGUUAAACAGACUCUCAGAUCCACACUGGACUCAGAUCUACCUGACGUCACAUCACUGAACCCGCUGGAUCAAGAAUCAGCUCACAGUCCAGUCUCUCCUAAGAGCCCAAUGAGAAAAGUAUGUACUUGGUCCCUUAAAAAGAGGCUCACUGCAGUGCCCACAGAAAGGAUCGACAUGGAGAGGGAGGGCUCACCACUGGGAUUCCCAGACUCUGUGUACAUUCAUGCUGCAGCUAUUUUCCAGAAAACUCAUGUGGAGAAAGACCUCGCUCACCGAUUCAUUUGCUAUUGGAGCUUCUGUCCUAGAGUUGACCGUGACGGUGGUGAUGAUGAUGAUGAUGAUUCUGGAGUCGUUGACGAUGGUGACGCCAACACCAAGCAGAAUGAGCUCUGGGCACAUGAGCUGGCAUUUAACACCCUGAAAUGUGAGUGACAAAAUCAAGCCAGGCCUCAAAUCAAAAUUGAGUUUGUAUGAUUAUCAGGAUGAGAAUUACAAGUGGAACUUACCUGCCUGAUCUGGUAUGAGAAACUCCAUAAAGAAGCAAAAUAUGUCUUGGGUAAGACUGUAAAUAUCAUAAAGAUAGUGAUGAGAUUUAGAAGGCACAAGAAUCUGAUGUGUCCAGGUCAUCUCGAUUGUUUUUGCAGUGUGCAGUCACUGAUGUCAUAGUUUUUGUGGCCCACAAAUCUUUAACAUCAAUUAUUCAGUUCCUCAUGACUCAAAGGUGCAGUUGGAAAUAUAUGAAGAGUCAUAAACGUAUAUUACUGUUACCCAGAAUUCUAUUGUUCUUGUCCUACAGUACAGCAGAGGAGAGCUUUUCCAUUUUAUAAUGUUGUAGAGGAGACUGAGGUUGGUUGUCCCUUUUUUUCUGUGGCGGUCUCAAAUACUAAAAUAACCCUGCUAGGUGCAAAUUUAAUGUUAAAUAACUGGAUUAAAAACAUUAUUCAGUGUCAUAGAAUAUUUGUAAAAAUAUUUUAAAAUAUUUAAAAUGAUAUAAAAUGACUGACUUUUUUUUCCUUUCCUUUGUUUUUUUUUUUUUUUGCCUUUUUUAAACAUUGUUUGCGUUAUCCACAUAUUUACGAUUUGGGGACAAAUGAAAUAUUUUCAAAAUUGCCCAUCGAAAGACACUUAUUAGCCAUUUAUUAUAAGACAUCUGUUAAUAUUAUUUAAUGGACGUGCUUUUUUGUAUUUUUAUUAACUAACAAAGAUGAAUAGAUACUGUAACAAAUGUCUUGCUCAUUGUUAGUUCGUGCUUAUGCUUUAACUGAUGUUAACUAAUCAUAAAGUGUUACCAAAAUAGUUUUGUUGUAUUGUUUCCGAAGCUUGAUAUCAGAAAACAUUGAUUUGAAGGGAAUAGACAGACUUUUGGGUUGUAUAUGCUCCAUGUUUCCUGUCAUUUCUUCUCUUCUGAGCUCAUCUUUCCUUGCCUUCCCCCUCGUCUUUCCAUUACUGAGGUCCUGAAUCAAUAAUUUGGGAAUGUCUGGUCACAUUCUGGAUGAGUUUCUUCUUGUAGCUUAUCUUCCCCACACAGGUCUCUGACUCAUUCCUCUACUCUCUCUCUCUCUCUCUCUCUCUCUCUCACACACACACACACUCAAACUUUUUGCUUAGGAAGGCUUUUUACUCUUUUAUUUUUUUAAGAACAUCUAUUUGCUUUUAGUGUAGUCAGGUCAGACGUCAGUUAACUGGCUUCUGUAACACUUUAAUGGCUGCACUGAACUGUGAGCGUGAGGUCAGUUCUAUCAUCCAGAAACACAAAGACAACAAAUGAUUUAAAUUUAUAUACAAAUCAGAAAAAUCAGACAUAAGCUGAUCAAUCUAAUAUAUUAUACAAUAUAUUAAAGGAGCAAAAAAUAAUUGUUAUAGUAAUGAUUAGUUGUUGUUGUUUUUUUUUUUUUUUAAAUCUUAGAUGGUUAAAUAAAAACAAUAAAUAUAUUAAUCA